rnacentral:rRNA from 1 species
AAAAGCGGAGGAAAAGAAACCAACAGGGAUUGCCUCAGUAGCGGCGAGUGAAGCGGCAAAAGCUCAGAUUUGAAAUCGUGUUUCGGCACGAGUUGUAGAUUGCAGGUUGGAGUCUUUGUGGAAGCGUGUGUCUAAGUCCCUUGGAACAGGGUGCCAUUGAGGGUGAGAGCCCCGUGAGACGCGUGCGGAAGCUGUAAGGCCCUUCUGACGAGUCGAGUUGUUUGGGAAUGCAGCUCUAAGUGGGUGGUAAAUUCCAUCUAAGGCUAAAUAUUGGCGAGAGACCGAUAGCGAACAAGUACUGUGAAGGAAAGAUGAAAAGCACUUUGAAAAGAGAGUGAAACAGCACGUGAAAUUGUUGAAAGGGAAGGGUAUUGGGCUCGACAUGGGAUUUGCGCACCGCUGCUCCUUGUGGGCGGCGCUCUGUGCUUUUCCUGGGCCAGCAUCGGUUUUUGCCGCAGGAGAAGGCGUGCUGGAAUGUGGCUCUUCGGAGUGUUAUAGCCAGUGCGAGAUGCUGCGUGCGGGGACCGAGGACUGCGACAUCUGUCUCGGAUGCUGGCACAACGGCGCAAUACCGCCCGUCUUG